AGCUGCAGUCGGCUCCCACCUGGACCAGGACCACAGGACCAGCGGUGACCACAGUCCUUUCAACGAGGACCAGGACCAGCGCUGACCACUGUCCCUUCCCACGGGGACCAGGACCAGCUCUGAUCACUCUCCCUUCCCAUGGGGCCCAGGACCAGCGGUGACCACAGUCCUUUCCCAUGGUGAACUAGGACUGGCAGUCACCACAGUCCCUCCUAUGAAGACAAUGACCAGUGGUGACCACAGACCAUUCCCACGGGGACCAGGACCAGUGGUGACCACUGUCCCUUCCCAAGGGGACCAGGACCAGGAAUGACCACUGUCCCUCCCCAUAGUGACCAGGAUCAGGAAUGGCAUGGUCCCUUCCAUGGUGACCAGGACCAGCAGUGACCACAGUCCCUUUCCAUGGAAACCAGUGAUGGCCAUGAGUGAACUUCACGGAGCACCCAGAUGGCUGUGGGUCUGUGCCCACCAGGACCAGCAGAGACCUCGGAUUCCCUCCCACAGGGUGCUGCAGAGAGAGCUCUCAGCCUCAUUUUCCAUGACAACCUGAGGGGAGCCUUGGUCCCCACGAAGCCCAGGAAUCCUUUCUAGUCCCAAAUUCCUUCCCAGGCCAGACUACCCUAAAACAAACCAGAGGAGGGGAACUCCUCCUGUGUGAGCAGACAGUGGAAACCCAUUUCAGGGCCACGCCUGUGGGUGAGAAAGAUGUUGGAUCGGGAACUCGGGGCUCAUCAGGGCACAUGGGCUGCACCUGGACUGGAUCUCCAAAGCAGGACACCUUGGUCUCAAGAUCACCUUAAAGUACUGUAGGACUGCUGCAGCUCCUCCCAUCACAUCUACAUUCCAGACAGCAGGAGGGAAAGGCAAAACUGGUGCAUUCCAAAUGGUGUAUUUCAUUGUAAAGGGGCUUCCUAAAAAUGCAAACAGCUCCAUGCCUUUAUCGUAUUGGCCACGUGACCACUUCUUGCACCCAAGGACGCUGAGAGGUAAAAAUUGCCUGACUCGGUGGUUCUCUCUAUUCCAGUCUCUCUGCAGCUUAGCACUGGUAAACCAGAUGCAGAACUUUUCUCUGGAGGACUUUCGGAAGUCUGGGGGUGGAGAAGGAAAUUUGUUGUCAGAAUGACUGAGGAAUGCCAUCAAUAUUUCAUGACCAGGCCUGGAAGUUUUAACACCUUGCAGUGUAUAGGACAUCCCUGCCUAAAGAAAAAAUGCUCUUCCCCAAAUGCCAGUAGAUACCUGUAUUAGUUAAGGUUCUCCAGGGAAACAGAACUAAUGGGAGAUUUACAUGCAUAAAUGGAAAUUUAUUAUGAGGCAUCAGCUCAUGUAAUCAUGAAGGCUGAGACAUACCAUGAUCUUCUGUCUGCCACACAAAGACCUAGGAAAGCUGGUGGUGUCAUUCAGGUCUGGUCUUAAGGCCUGAGCAAUGGUGUAAGUCCCAGUUUCGGGGAGGAGGGGGAAUGGUGGGAGUGGUUGCUGAGAAGAUGCCAUGAAAUGUGCCAGCUUGAGCAGUGAGGCAGUGGGGAAAACGGAGGGUGGUGGGGAUGGGGUGCAAAUUCCUCUUUCCUCCGUUUUUUUUCUUUGAGACAGUUUUUCUCUGUCACCCAGGCUGGAGUGCAGUGGUGGGAUCUCGGCUCACUGCAAACUCUGCCUCCUGGAUUCAAGCGAUUCUCCUGCCUCAGCCUCUUGAGUAGCUAGGAUAACGCACUACCCAGCUAGGCGUGGGUAGGCACGCACUACCACACCCGGCUAAUUUUUGCAUUUUUAGUUGAGAUGGGGUUUUGCCAAAGCCAUUUUGGCCAGGCUGGUCUUGAACUCCUGACCUCAAGUGAUUCACCGGCCUGCCAAGGGCUGGGAUCACAGGCCUGGUCUACUCCAAUUUUUUUGGCCUACAUAGGCCUUCAGCAGAAUGGAUGAAGCCCACACACCGGGGAGGACACUUGCUCAAACGAGUUCACGGACACAGAUCUCAUCUGGAAACAUGCGCCUGGGUACACCUUGAAGCAACGUCCGAUGUGGGCACCUGCUAUGGUCUGGAUUUGUGUCCCCACCAAAAACUCAUGUGGAACUGUCAUUCCCAAUGCUGGAGGUGGGCCUGGUGGGAGGUGGCUGGGUCAUGGGGAUGGAUCUCCCAGGAAUGGUUUCGCACCAUCCCAUUGGAACUGUCCUGGUGAGAGGGAGUGAGUUCUCCCCAGCUCUGGGUGUUCAGAAACGUGCAGCACCUCCCCAACUCUCUUGCUCCUGGUCCCGCCAUGUGAGAUGCCUCACGCCCCGUUUGCCUCCUGCCGUGAUUAGAAGCUUCCUGAGGCCUCCCCAGAAGCACAAGCUGUGGUGCUUCCUGCACAGCCUACAGAACCUCAAGCCAAUUAAUCCUCUUUUCUUUAAAAACUACCCAGGCUCAAGUAUUCUUUUUUUUUUUCUUUUCUUCUCUUUUGAGACAGGGUCUCUCUCACUUGGGUGCCCAGGCUGGAAUGCAGUGGCGCAAUCUUGGCUUGCUGCAACCUCCACCUCCUGGGUUCAAGCAAUUCUCCUGCCUCAGCCUCCUGAGUAGCUGGAAUGACAGGUGCAUGCCGCCAUGCUUGGCUAAUUUUUAUAUUUUUAGUAGAGAUCAGAUUUCACUGUGUUGGCCAUGCUAGUCUCCAACUCCUGACCUCAGGUGAUCUGCCCGCCUUGGCCUCCCAAAGUGCUGAGAUUACAGGCUAUGCCUGCCUUGGCCUCCCAAAGUGCUGAGAUUACAGGCUAUGCCCGCCUUGGCCUCCCAAAGUGCUGAGAUUACAGGCCUCAGCCACUGUAAACGGCUUUUAGGUUUUUGGGGGGAUGGAGUCUUGUUCUGUCACCCAGACUGGAGUGCAGUGGCGCAAUCUUGGCUCACUGCAACUGCCGCCUCCUGGGGUUUAAGUGAUUCUCAUGCCUCAGCCACCCGAGUAGCUGGGAUUAAAGGCAUGAGCCACCACACCCAGCUAUUUUAGUAUUUUUAGUAGAGAUGGGGUUUCACCAUGUUGGUCAGGCUGGUCUCAAACUCCUGCCUCAUGUGAUCCACCCGCCUUGGCCUCCCAAAGUACCGGAUGACAAGUGUGAGCCACCACACCCGGCAUCGGGUCUUUCUUUAUGGCGGUAUGAGAAUGGUCUAAUACAGCACCCCAUGUUCCCAGUCAAGCUGACACAGAAAAUUCACUACAAUAGGUGGUUAAUUCCUCAUGACUGAGGGACAAACAUGGUGAAUACCUUUUUGUUUUCCAAAACGGAAGUAAUUCUCUACUGCUGGGCAUGGCUUCCUUCUCCUCCCAACUGGCCUCUCCCUGGCCCAAGGCUUCCUAGGGCUGCAUAACAAAGGACCAGGAACUCCUCCGUGGCCUAAGCCUGUCCUCUGGAAGCUCUGGAGGACCAGGAACUCCUCCGUGGCCUAAGCCUGUCCUCUGGAAGCUCUGGAGGACCAGGAACUCCUCCGUGGCCUAAGCCUGUCCUCUGGAAGCUCUGGAGGACCAGGAACUCCUCCGUGGCCUAAGCCCGUCUCUGGAAGCUCUGUGGGACAGAGGUCUGGGAUCACAGUGUCAGCAGAGUGGCCCUACCUCGGGAGCCUCUUGUAGGGAACCUGUUAGUUGUAUCUUUCAGCUUCUGGUGGUUGUUGGUGUUUCUUUGUUCUUUUUUAUAUUUUUUAAAAUUUAGUUAGAGACAGGGUCUCCCUGUGUAGCCCAGGCUAGUCUCAAACUCCUGGUCUUAAGCAAUCCUCCUGCUUUGGUCUCACAAAGGGCUGGGGUUGCAGGUGUGAGUCAUGGGGCCCAGCCUGUCGGUGUUUCCUGACUUGUGUUCCAUCACUGCAGCCUCUGCUUUCAGGAUCACAUGGCCUCCUCCUCUGCUGGAGCAUCUCCUCCUGUAAGUUUUUUUGUUUUUGUUUUUUUUUUUGAAACAGAGCCUCACUCUGUUGCCUAGGCUGGGAUCUUGGCUCACUGCAACCUCUUCCUCCAGGGUUCAAGCAAUUCUCCUGCCUCAGCCUCCCAAGUAGCUGGGACUACAGGCAUAAGCCACUGUGCCCAGCUAACUUUUGUAUUCUUAGUAGCGAUGGGGUUUUGCCGUUUUGGCCAGGCUGGUCUCAAACUCCUGGCCUCAAGUGAUCUGCCCACCUUCCUUGGCCUCCCAAAGUGCUGGGUGUGAGCCACUGCACCUGCCCAGAUGACUGCAUUGAUGAAGGCCCCCAGUCUCCUCAUCUGGGGCUAUUCUCCACCUUCCCUAACACUGAGGCUCUUUGUCCCUCUCUCCUGUCUUGAUCCUUUUCUGCAUUAUAGCCACAGAGCAGUCAGCCCCUUCCCCCCAACUGGAUAGUGACCUCCUGGUCUGCCACGUCAUCUGUAUCUAAAACCUCUGCUUGCCUGGGACAGUGACAUGCCUGCAUAAAGGCAGGCAUCAACGUUUGCUGAGUUUCAUCAAAUCUUUAACUGUGCACUCUUAUAAGAUUUUAUUCCUAUAAGAAUGCAUUUCUGACUUUUUUGAGACAGAAUCUUGCUCUGUCGCCCAGACUGGAGUGAAAUGGCUGGAUCUCGGCUCACUGCAAUCUCUGCCUCCCAGGUUCAAGUGAUUCAUCAGCCUCAGCCUCCCAAGUACCUGGAUUCCAGGUACUUGGGAGGCUGAGGCUGAUGAUAUGCUACCACAUCCGGCUAAGUUUUUGUAUUUUUAGUAGGGAUUUUACCAUGAUGGGGUUUAACCACGUUGGCCAGGCUGGUCUUGAAAACCUGACCUCAAGUGAUCCACCCACCUCAGCCUCUCAAAGUGCUGGGAUUAAAGGCGUGAGCCACCGCGCCUGGCCCAUUUCUGACUUUUUAAUGGAAGUCAGUUUUAGAAGGGGAUUUUCUGGGCUGAAAUUCACUGGUAUUUGAUUGGUCUGGAAUACACCUGUUCCACAAGCUAAGCUAUUCUGACAUCUCUUUUGGGACCCAUUACUUUACACGUUCAUGGCUUUAGUUUACCCAUUUGUAAAAUAAGAAAAAAACUAUAAAGAAUAUCAUAGUUAAUUAGUUCUUUUGAUGAAGUCUUUUAUGGUGCUCUCAAGUAGAUAACAUAAAAGGAUACAAAAUCAGAUAUGUUGUUAUGGGAUAACGUAGAAAUCAUUACUGAGGAGGGGAGCAGCACAACUGAAGUUGUAGGCGUCUCUCAUAAGAUUUCUCCAGAUGCUUCUAAUGGGAGAAUCUUCCAAUAAAUGUAAAGCCAAAUCUGCUUUUUGCUUUGAUCAUAGCGUUUGCUCAGACUAUUUUUCUAGUUCCGAGUGCCAGGGAAAAUGAAACUUUAUUAUCUACCCUAUAUAAAAAUGAUAGCAUUUUCAAGAGAAAGCAUGGUGGGCAUACUGACUUUGGAAGUGGCUCUGUGAUAAAAAUCAACACGACAUCUCUCCUUUUUCCCUUUAGAGCAUUUAUAAGAAAGGCACUCUGUUCUAUCAAAGUUUUUAGUCUUCAUACCAUCAUUGCUCCCUAUAAUACAGCAAACUAUGAAUGUUCUGUGUGUGUGUGUGUGUGUGAGAGAGAGACAGGGGGGUGGGGGGAAGAAGAGAGAGGGAGAGAGAGAUACAGAAGGAGACAGGGACAGAGAGGGGUAAAAGAGAGGGAGAGAGAGAUGGAGAGCGAGCUACAUAGAGAGGAAGAAGAAGAGAUGGAGGAAAAGAGAAAUGCACAUUUGAGAAAAGCAGGUGCACAUGGAAUUGUGGUUUGUUUGCCCUAGUUGUGUUUCCUUUUCCUGACUUUUAUUAACAGCACUUGAAAGUGACCAAAUGCAAAAAAAAAAAAAAAAAGAAAGAAAGAAAGAAAAGAAUCUGUUAGUCUGGAAGUAUCUAGCUCCUGCUAGUGUUGCUUAAUGAACAUGAUGAAGUCAAUCAACCAGAAAUAAGUGAUUUCUUCCCUUUGAGCUUCUGGCAAAAAAUCAGGGUUUCGAUUCCCACUGCUGUUCUGAAGACAGUGCAGACCCAAUUCUUAACUUUGCAGCCCAAAGCUGCUCUUCACAAAGACUGCAGUUCCAGCAAAGGAGACAGUGAGCGUAACAGCGCGUGGCACAGCCGUCGGGAUCAGACGCUUACUCAGGGAUGACGGGCUCCCCGCGAACUGCUUCCAGUAGCAACCUGAUGUGGCAGAGGUCCAUAUUUACUCUUUUCACAUUUUAAUUUAUUUUUAAUUAAAUAAGUAAGAUAUGUUUAAGAAAUGCAGAUAAGCAAAAAAGAAUUGUAAAAAUCACAAAGCUUGGUGAGGUGGCUCACGCUUAUAAUCCCAGCACUUAGGGAGGCCGAGGCAGGCAGAUCACCUAGCUCACCUGAGAGUGGGAGUUUGAGACCAGCACGACCAACAUGAGAAACCCCGUCUCUACUAAAAAUAGAAAAUUACCCAGGUGUGGAGGUGCACACCUGUAAUCCCAGCUACUCGGGAGGCUGAGGCAGGAGAAUUGCUUGAACCUAGGAGGUGAAAGAUUGCAGUGAGCUGAGAUCACACCACUGCACUCCAGCCUGGGCAACAAGAGCAAAAAGUUGUCUCAAAAAAAAACCACAAAAAUCCCGUUUCCCUGAGAUAACCACUGUUAAUAUUGUGGCUUCAAGUUUUCCCUGACUUGACACGCAACCAUCGCAACAGUCCACUUUAUUGUGUGUGUACCAGGAACCUAACGUUCUUCUAAGCACUGUUCAGUGUUCUUCAAUGAAUCCUCCCACAUCCUAAACUGAAGGGACUGUUCUCACCAUUUCAGACAGUGAGCUGGAGACACAGGAAGGUUCGAUGCCUCCCAGAGGUCAUGCAGGCAUUGGAAACACUUCACUGCUUCUUUGAUUCUGCUGCGUGGGCACAGUAUUCUCGCUGGUUCUUGCUCCGUUUUGUUUGUGUUUGUCAUUUUUGGCACAAGAAAUAGAAACACCCUACACACUUUUUGUAUUAUGCUGUUUAUUACUUAAUAACUGUGGUAGGCAAAAUUCUAACAGGGCCCACUAGAGUUCCCAUCCCUGGUGUGCACACACACCUCCUCCUGAUUCCAUCACAUGUCCAUCCGGGGGCUGUCACAGAGAGAAUCUGCAGAUGAGACUUAAUCCCCAGAUUAAGUGACCUUAAAAUAGGAAGAUUAUGCAGGAUGAGCCUCAUCUAUAAUUGUCUCCUUGAAAGGACUGAGCAUUUCCUCAGGUCGGAAAGAUUCAAAGGGUGAGAGGGACUUGAUGUCCGGGAAGUUCUCUACUGCUCCUCCGAAGACAGACAACUGCGUAAUGGGGGAGGCAGGCCGGCUCUAGGAGCUGAGAGCAGCCCCCAACAGUCAGGCAGCAAGGAAGUGACCCUUCAAGCCAUCUCCUCGAGGAACCACCUCCUGCCACAACCACGAAGCACGAAAGAGAGCCCUGACCUCCAGAAGAGAUUUCGGCCUGGCCAACACUUUCAUCUCAGCUUCCUGAGACCCUGGACAGAGAAGCCAGUCGUGCCAAUGCCCAGACUUCCCACCUCCCGAAGCCUGUGAGCUCAUAAAUGGGUGCUGUUUCAAGCUGCUGAAGUACUGGUCAUGUGCUACGCAGCAACAGAACAAUAAUAUAAUACUGUGUCAUGAAUACUUUUCCAACUCCAAAUCCUCCACCUGUGGUACCAUUUGAAUAGCGACACAGAAUUCCCGUACAUGCGCGCACUGGAGUUGACUUCAUCUCUGCCUUGGUGUUGCCCAUCUGCGCCUUUUCCACUCAUUUGGCGAUUAUACGCAACAUCGUAAUGAACGUUUUACUGGCUGGAGUGCAUCAGCACCACCUCGGCUCACUACAACCUCCACCUCCUGGGUUCAAGCGAUUCUCCUGCUUCAGCCUCCAAAGUAGUUGAGACCACAGGCACAUGCCACCACUAGCCUGGCUUUUUGUGUUUUAGUAGAGACAGGGUUUCACCAUGUUGGCCAGGCUGGUCUCGAACUCCUGACCUCAGGUGAUCCACUCACCUCAGCCUCCAAAAUGGUGGGAUUUAAACUGUCUUUCUGAAACAAGUGUUUCCCUCAUCUCUAUCUCCUUCUGAAAUGCUUAGUUCUCUGGUUCCACAAGAUGUUCUCUGGCAACUCCAAGCUUAUAUCUCUUUACUAUCAAACUCAAUAGAAAAGAGAAUGACUUCUUCCUGCUCAUUCCAGAAUACAUUCUGGGAUUAGUUCUGACCAACUUGAUCACAUGUCCAUCUCUGAACCAAUUACUUUAUUUUCAUUAUUUUAUUUUAUUUUAUUUUGAGAUGGAAUGUUACUCUGUUGCCCAGGCUGGAGUGCAGGGCAUGAGCUCAGCUCACUGCAACCUCUGUCUCCUGGCUUUAAGCAAUUCUCCUGGGUCAGCCUCUCUGGUAGGGGGAUUACAGGUGUGUGCCACCAUGCCCAGAUAAUUUUUAUAUUUUUAGUAGAGACAGGUUUUCACCAUGUUGGCCAGGCUGGUCUCAAACCCCUGACCUCAGGUGAUCUGCUCACUUUGGCCUCCGAAAGUGUUGGGUUUAUAGGCGUAAGCCACCGUGCCCAGCCUGAAGCAAUUAAUUUGGCUCAGUAGAUGUGACCCUGCGGAUUGGACAGGCGUAGGUCAAAUGCCCACUCUUAGGCUGGGGCAUCCAGCGGCCCUACCUAAAUCACAGGGGGCAUUGAUUAGCUAAGGAAAUCCAGGUGCAGUCACCAGAAGGGACCCAACAAGAGUUGUCCUCGAAAGAGCCUGCUGCUCACUGUGCCAAUUUUAUUUGUUGGAUGUUUAUCUUUUCAUAAUAUUCUUUAGAACUUGUUAUAAAAUAAGAACAUUAACUUUCUCGAGGUUGAAGCAGGAGAAUCUCUUGAACCUGGGAGGCGGAGGUUGCAGUGAGCAGAGAUCGCGCCACUGCACUCCAGCCUGGGUGACAGAGUGAGACUCUGUCUCAAAAAAAGAAAAAGAACAUUUACUUUGUCUUAGCUAUAAUACUUCCAUUUCUUCUUAGUUGGUGUGCUGUCAACAGCAAUUAUUAUUUUUUAUACGCAUAAGUUUUAAAUCUUUAUGUAGUCAAAUUAUUUUUUCCUGCAUGCCUUCUGCCUUUUAGUGUUAGGCUUAAGAAGGCAUUUUCACUCGAAGAUUAUAUAUUUGCCAAUAUUUUCUCCUAGUGCUUUUAUAUUUUCAGUUUAUUCUAAUAUUUAAUCCAUCUGGAAUUUAUGUUGGUACAAAAUAUGAAGCCUAUCUUCCCCCAUGUUUAGUGAUUCAUUCCAACAUAAUUUGUUUAACAAUGCAUCCUUUCCCCGUGAAUUGCUGAUACUUUCUCUUUUUUUUUUUUUUUUUGAGAUGUAGUCUCACUAUGGCGCCCAAGCUGGAGUGCAGUAGCACAAUCUUGGCUCACUGUGACCUCCACCUCCCGAGUUCAAGCAAUUCUCCCACCUCAGCUUCCCGAGUAGUAGCUGGGAUUACAGGUUUGCGUUAUCAUGCCAGGUUAAUUUUUGUAUUUUUAGUAGAGAUGGGGUUUCACCAUGUUGAUCAAGCUGGUUUCAAACUGCUGACCUCAGGUUAUCUGCCUGCCUUCGCCUCCCAGAGUGUCAGGAUUACAGGCGUGAGCCACUACACCUGACCAGAUCCCUUUAUUAUCAAAUACUGAGAUUUUUCUUUUUUUGCUUGCUUACUUAUUUAUUUAUUUGAGAUGGAGUCUUGCUCUGCUGCCCAGGCUGUAGUGCAGUGGUGCGAUCUCAGCUCACUGUAAUCUCUGCCUCUCAGGUUCCAGCAUUUCUCCUGCUUCAGCCUCCUGAGUAGCUGGGAUUACAGAUGCCUGUCACCAUGCCCAGCUGAUUUUUGUAUUUUCAGUAGAGACAGGAUUUCACCAUGUUGUCCAGCCUGGUCUGGAACUCCUGACCUCAGGUGAUCUGCCCAGCUUGGCUUCCCAAAGUGCUGGGAUUACAGGCAUGAGCCACCAUGCCAGGCAGCCUUUCCUUAUUAUUAUUAUUAUUUUUGAGACGGAGUUUCACUCUUGUUGCCCAGGCUGAAGUGCAAUGGCACGAUCUCAGCUCACUGCAAUCUCUACCUCUCGGGUUCAAGCAACUCUCCUGCCUCAGCCUUCUGAGUAGCUGCCAUCUUGGCCAGGCUAGUCUAGAACUCCUGACCUCGUGAUCCACCCACCUCAGCCUCCCAAAGUGCUGGGAUUACAGGCGUGAGUCACCACACCUGGCCCAUUAUUAUUUUUAAUUGACAUAAUAAUUGUACAUAAUUAUGGGGCAUAGGGUAGGAUUUUAAAACAUGUACUCCUAUGAGAACUUCUUAGCUUCCCCAUGGGUGAGAACGUGUGCUCUGUACCUCUCCGUGCCUGGCUUAUUUCACUGCAUGCAAUGAGUUAUUUCAUAUUAGUGCUUCCGCUCCUUCUUUGUAUUUAUCUUCACUGAUCUCUCCCGUAAGGCCUAACCUAGAAAACAAGUACACUUAUAAUUACCAAUUAACUAUUAUAUUAUUACAAUUUAGGCUAAGAUUGCUUUAAGGAGUUGUGAAAGAAGUGGCUAAAAGAGGAUAUUAGGUGUGGUCACACCAUCUUGCACUUCUUGCAAUAGAAGAAAGCAGAAGUUCAUUUUCUUUCACUUUCUCUCUUCACCUCCCUGCUUCUAUUGGCAAAGCCCAACUUUUGCAAAUGUCUUGGGGGUUUUUUCAACAGAGGAGGAAAAGUACCCAAGAAAUAGACAUUGCUACGCACAAGGGUCAAAUAAAGUGAGUGCCUGAAACAAGUCAAAUCAGAACCAGCUCCCUGACCAUCCGCUCUCACAUCCUGUCAAAAAAAACGCAAAUCAUGCUGGGAGCUGAACCGGUUCAUACUAAGGAUUAUUUGUAGCCAGAAAGAACUGCUGCAACAGCGACUCCUUGAAGUAAACAGAAUUUAUGCCAACUGUGACCCAAGGAGAUUCGGAAGACGUUUGACAUGGCCUGUGGCUGCACCAUGGCUAAUGACUUACGCUGUGGCCAGAUGCACGAGGAUGAGGGGGCCCAUGAGUCCCUCCCUAGGGAACUGGGAAAUCCGGAGAAGCUGAAUUACUGGCCGUGAGAGGUGCGGCUGAGCUGAGCUAAGGCUGAGCUGUCGUGACUCAGGGGCAGGUGUUCAACAGCUGUUUGUUGAGUGAGUGAGUGAUGUACAGAUGGCACAGAAAGGCUAUGAUGGCUGCUUGUAAGCCGAAGUUUUGAGGAAGCUGAAACUGUGAGUAAGGAGAGUCAACUGUCUGGCAGCAAGGCGAGAGCAACUCAAUAGAGAUGUGAGACAAGACACAGAAAUGCCAUCACACAGCCAGAGGAGCCAGGCAAUCCCCUGAAUGUCCUGUCUCUGAUGGUUUCUCAAUUCAUUGCCUCAAAUUGCACCCGCUGGAGCCCUGCACUGGGUGAGGCUCAGGAGACAGGGUGGUACCAGAGAAGGGAGACUCCUCAUACUUCCAAGUCUAGUCCAUACCACAGGCACCUUUGCAAAGAGUGCCCUUUCCCCUCUUCCAGAGGGCUCCUGAGGUGAAGAGCCAACAGACAAAAAUGUGUUUUGGAAGACACAGUUACCUAUCCCUUAGAUGCCUACUGUAUGGGUUAGGUCAUUUAUUUAUUUAUUUAUUUUAGCUGCAAAGGAGAAACUCAUAGGAUCACUUUUUGGGGCAGGAGUAUAUUGCAAGCACACCCAAUAAAGUGGGAGGAACGGCCUUACGUGAAUUCGUUAGCGAUACCGUCACUGGGGCUCAGCACAGGGGCUGCAAACUCAAUCGUUACAGGAGCCAGGCAGAAAACUCAUGGGUCCAGCAUGAGAAAAACAUCAGGAUGCCGUUCUUUUUUAUUUUAUUUUUUCAAUUUUUUGAUAAAAUUAUGAGAGGUGGUUUUUGGCUACAUGUAAUACAAAUAACAGAAAACCCAACAGUGACUUAAACAAUGUAAGACUUACUAUUAUCUCAUGCUCCCCGAGU